CUGGUCUUGACAUCCACAGAACUUGCCAGAGAUGGCUUGGUGCCUUCGGGAACUGUGAGACAGGUGCUGCAUGGCUGUCGUCAGCUCGCGUUGUGAAAUGUUGGGUUAAGUCCCGCAACGAGCGCAACCCUUAUCCUUUGUUACCAGCGGUUAGGCCGGGAACUCAAAGGAGACUGCCAGUGAUAAACUGGAGGAAGGUGGGGAUGACGUCAAGUCAUCAUGGCCCUUACGACCAGGGCUACACACGUGCUACAAUGGCAUAUACAAAGAGAAGCGACCUCGCGAGAGCAAGCGGACCUCAUAAAGUAUGUCGUAGUCCGGAUUGGAGUCUGCAACUCGACUCCAUGAAGUCGGAAUCGCUAGUAAUCGUAGAUCAGAAUGCUACGGUGAAUACGUUCCC
rnacentral:rRNA from 1 species